ensembl:lncRNA
CACAGAAAUUUGGUACAUUUCAAAACCACUGAAAAACACAACAAUCAUUAAUGCCUGUGAAAGUGUUUCAAGGUUUGACAGGUAAGAAGAAUUGACAGUUUUUCAUUAAAUUGAUAGGCAACUUCUUUCUUUUGUCUCUCUUUGCAGCUCUAUUGUAGUCACAUUAGUCACAUCCUGCCUGGUCAGUGUUUACACGUUCUUACAUGAAGAUGAUCACUAACAGGAAACAUGGUCAGUGUAGGUUGUGCCUGUUUACAUCUUGGUAAAGUAGAAGAGUUUGUCUGAAAGCUGCCUGCUGAAUAGGCUGAAAAGAGAAGAAACACAGUUUGUUUGCCUGGAUAUUAAAUGAAAGCUUCCUUUGCUACAAUUUCCACUGAUGUUUGUGGAUGAUUACUAUUUACACUUAUCACAUGUAAGGAAUCACUCGGACAGCUAAAAACUACACCAGCACACACUGAACAGUGAGGAAAGAUGGAAGCUGUGCUUGGAUUGAUGAUUAUUCUACUGGGAGUUGCUCAUGGUGUGGAUACUUACUGUGAUGGCAGACAGGAUGGAGCUCAGUGUUAUGGAGCUUUGGGAGGAACUGUGGACAUCCAGCUGAUGGACAGCACCUCAGAAAUACCUAGAUACCACUUGUUAAAGGAUUCAUCAAAAAUAUUGGAUGUGAAACACAAUAAGAGUCUUCAUGAUACCACAGAGAACAAAUUUUUAUUUUUUCCUAGUAAUGGAACAUUUAGGAUCAGUAGCCUAAACAGGAAUGACAGUGGUAAAUAUACCCUGCAAACCUUUGAUUCAGAUGGAAGAACAUCAGAUGAGUGGACUUUCAAGUUGAUCUUUCAAGCUCCUGUGUCCUCUGUCCUGCUGGUCUCUGAGUGUCUGUCCCAGGGAGAGAUGAGGGUGUCCUGCUCCUCUGUGGGAGGGGACAGUCCUCAGUACAGCUGGACUCUGGAUGGAUGCACACUGACAGAUGCUGAGCUUUUUUCUGGAAAUAAUAAGAGUAACAACAUUAUUCUGAAACAGCACGUCUCAGGACAUCUGGUCUGCUCAGUGAGAAAUCAUGUCAAUAGUGUCUUCAAAGAACAAAGGAUAUGUACUUGUGGAUUCAUUUUCAUUAACUGCACUUUAUCUGAUGGGACACACAUAACAAAGUGGGUGCUUGCAACCAAAAAUACCCUGUGUAUUAAACCAACAAUGGGCCCUAUAACAGUCUCUGAAACUGCUCUAGAUAACUCCUUACUUUUAUGUGGUUUGAGAGCAAUCUUGGGAAUUCUCUUAUUAAUUGGGAUUUUCAUCUACUUUGCUUGGAAGAAAAAGAAAACUGAAAAAGCUGCUGUCCCACAAACAAUGGACUAUCCAGACAACUCUGUUCUGAUGGUUGAAAUGACAACUUCUACUUCUUGCAACGCGUAGUGUCAACUUUCAUCUGCCCGACAUUUCACAUCUCUGUGAGUGUGAAAAUAGCACUUAGAUGACACGUAUCUCUUGUUUUUAUUCACUAAUCAUGUUUUACAUUUACACAUCUUACACUGAAUGACUAUGAGAAGGUCUGAGUAUCUUCUGCAUUUGUAUUCUGUGGAAACUAAUAUAACAAAUGUUGUAAUUGUAAGUAGAGUAGUCUUUUAAUUUGACACAUUUUUUGUCAAGCUUAUGGUGGCCUAAAAUCAAAUUUUUACAUAACUGCAAAUAGAAAUAAUC